rnacentral:lncRNA from 1 species
GGGAGCUGACCCUUCUGGUGCCACUGAUGGAUGACAAUAAUGAGAUGAAGAAAAAAAUGGAGGUUAUGCUUCAAAGUGUAGUGAAAAUUGAGAAUGGUAUCACUUCUUUCAUGCCCAACAGUAUUAAACUUACCGAUGAUUCUUCAUUUGUGCAACAUAUGCUAAGUACAUGAACGAUCUAAACCUGUUGUUGGGGAAACAUAUGGUGAUGAUGGAGGCACCGAUUGGGGGAGGACUAGAACUAGAAUAGCCAGCCAAAGAGGGAAAAUCGCAGCCGAAUUUAUGGAUUGUUUGGUUUGAAGAAAAAACUCGUCUCACUAUGGGUUCAUCCAUUGAACAAUCGCAUGAAUUUUGGUGGAAACAACCUUCCUUGUUAUUCCAUUGCUAGCAUUAUAUAGUGCUUAGAAUGGAUAAAAACUUAAAUAUAUUGACACUAGGCUUGGACGUGGUGGCCGACUGUAGCUAAUUUACCUUGUUGCACAACUUCCAUGGGCUCAAAUGCAAGGAAAUUAUGCACUACAGUGGUGAAUUUAAUCAUAAGAAGCAGUGAUUAACAUUAGCACAACAUAUAGACUUGACAUGAGGCCAACUGAAAAUACUAGCAUGAGCACAGUAUUGCAUCUCACUCAUGUAUCAUGACAAAAAAACAUAAACAACCUAAUAGGCCUACCAUAUUGGCGAUAUAAAUAUAGGCUUCCAUAGAUGUCGCCAAGGAGGCGCAUAAAUGUUGACGGCGAAGUGGUAUAUAUUUACGCAAAUGUAGUCACCUAUUUAUUGAUUAAAUUAAUCAUGAAAGUGCAUAAAUUUCUAAUAGAUAAUCAGCUACAUACGACACUUAAGAAUCUGGAUUUGUAGAUUACUAAGGGCUUGUUUGGGAAUAUCCGCUCCUUGAAAUUCAGCUCCGCUCUAGAAAACGCAAGCCAAACCGGGUAGCUUCACGACAUGCCGCUUCGCAAAAAAACUAGAAUCUGGGGUGCAACUCCACGUUUUUUGUGAAGCACUUUAGGAGGUGCUCCAAAAAAUUGUAAAAGCUGGAGUUGGAAGGAAAUUACCCACCACUACCACCAGUAAGUGGAUACCCCUUUGUUUCUCCCCACUCAACCAUUAGAUAUAUCCUUCCAACCAAAUUUCUCAUUCAUGAAGCUGGAGCUAGAUGAAAGUUAAACAUUCUCUUUGAAAGAAUUACAACUUCUGUAUGCAGGGACAGAUUCAAGGGGGGACGAGAGGGGGCGAGAUCACCCCUUAAUAGCGAUCAGUUUUGUUCGCUAUUUUUUCUGGUUGUAACUGCCCGUGGCUUGCUUUGCCCCCCUAUGCCCCCCUUAGCCAGGGCCCGUGUAUUUUUUUUACAAGCGGAUUGCACGUACAAGGCCCAAAUUGCAGAAAAAGUAAAAAGGGAAGCAGCCCACAGUGGAAGCAAACCGGGCUAUUAGGGCAGGAAGUAAUAUGCACGCAUGAACAAUUGUUAGAUCUCCUCACACCGCUUCGUUUCCAACAUGCUGUUCGAGCCUGCCGCCGCCCGCCAUCCGCCAUCCGCCAUCCGCCAUCAAGCCUUGGAGGUCCUUUUCUCCACCAAAAUUUUCGUAUGGGUUGGUUGGCUGGGUAACACAACACAAUUGAAAUGGAUCUUAGAUCUUCCAAUAUGUAAUACAAUAUGUAUCUAUCUAUCCCAUGAUUUUUAGGCUUCUAGUUCCUGCUCUUAGAGUACUAUAGCAAAAGGGCCCGUGCGUUGCAACGGGUGGAAAAAAAAUAAUACACUCUUAAUUUAUAAAAAAUGGUCUAUAAUCUGAGACUUCGUAGUUACGGCACAAACAUAUAUGGUCUUACCCUAAAAAAGUUCAGUUUAAAAUUCCACAGGUCUUCUAUUUUGAAACGGCUUGCAUAUAGAUUUAAUAUAUAUAAAGAAACGGGCAAGUGACCUUCAAUUUCAUCUCCAAUCCUGAUUUUGUUGACGUGUUCAUCCGCAAUCCGGAUUAGUACCGGUAUGAAAGAAAGAGGAAUAACGAAUUAUUUAUUAAAAUUGCACCCUAGAUAUAUUUUUUAUUAAAUGCUUAACAUGUAAAAUAACAUCAUAUUUAAAUUGUACAUAUUUUUCUAAUCAAAUUUCAUAUAUAACAUGUUAAAUUUGGAGUUACGGUUCAGAAGAUAUGAGUAUUUUAAAAAACAUUUAAUAUGUACUGCGGGAUUAAUGUUAGAAACAUCAGGGGGUUUUCUAUAAAAUAGCAAGACGGACUAAGAAUACCUAUUUCUUUUAUUAGUAGGUAUAGAUAUAUGUAGCCAUGUAACCUUUCAUAUUUACCCUAUUGUAUAAGGGGUUUUCUGCAUAUUACACACCUGUACAUGUAUAUAUACUGGCCUAUGGCCUCCUGGAAAUACAAGUUGCAUAUUUUCUAACAUGGUAUUAGAGCUAGGUCAAUUUUUUGCACGUCACAACUCGUGCUGUUGAUCCGCACCGCGCCGCCACUCUCCUUCGUGUCCGUCACUCGUCGCCGCCCUUUUGCCGUGUGUAUCGCAGGACUGGGCCGGCUCCUCUCCCUGAUCCAGUCAUCGUUGGACCCCGUCGUCGCCAGCCUCCCUGUGCUGGAUCCCGUCAACACCACCAGCCUUCCUGUGCUGGAUCCCGUCGCUCCCGGGCUGGAUCCAGUCGUCAGUCUCCCCGGUCCAGUCAACGCCGUGUCGUUCCGGUCGGAUAUCCCCGCUGGCCCUCCCUGCUGCUGCUAUUGUUCCGGUUUCCGCCGGAUCCCGCCGUCCCGCUGUCGUUCCCGUCAGAUCCCGCCGCCAGCCGUUGUUCCCGCCGGAUCCCGUCGCCGAACAUCCCUGCUGCUGUUGCUCUAGAUUCCGCCGCGGGCCGCCGCUGGAUCUCAUCGGGCCUCUCUAUUGCUGCUGCUAUCGCGUGAUAGCUGCUUAGCCCGUGGACAGUAAAAAAAGAAAAAAGAAAAAAAGAGAUAUGUUUCCCUCGGGUCUGCAUGUCCCUUGCUGCCCGGUGACUCCUGCUGCUCCCGUCUCGCAUCUGGGUCGUUCCUCGACGCUUGAUGUUCGUUCGUUUGUAUCGCCUUCCCUUUCGGCGUCUUCUGCAGGCUGUGGUGGUAGCUUUACUGCUGCUCCUCCUGCGAGCUCCACAUAUGAUGAUUGUUGCUCUUCCCCGACACCUCUCGCGACUUUCAUCGGUUGUAUUGGUGCACAUGACUCCAUCGACUGUGCUUCGCACACGCGUCUACCCUUGGCGCUUGGUGCUUGUCUGCAUACAGCCUCGUCUUCACCACCGGCCUUUGCAGACGAUACUGGUCAUGCUACAUCGUCACACUUAGCGGCUUCCACAGGUGGUGGUGGCCGCUUUUCUCCCGGUGCCAUUACGUCAUCUACUUCAGCUGUGUACUUCACUGAGGAGGAGCUUGCGCGCCUUCGUGCCUUGCUGAUUGCCUCCGACUCUCUGUUGUCGGGUGCAUCUAAAUCGACAUCUUCAGUUGCGCCCCUGACUGAGCAGGAGAUUGUGCGAUUUCGAUGCGUGAUAGCUCCAUGUUCUGGUUCUUCAUCGGCAGGGUCUGUUGGUUCUGCUACGGACUCUUCUGGCAUUGUGAGACCACCUUCUACACAAGCAGGUACACCCCCAUGGAUUCUUGAUGCCGGAGCAUCUUUUCAUAUGACUCAUGAUUCAUCAACUCUGUCAGCUACUCGACCUCUCGAUUCUCCUGUGCAUGUUCUUACUGUUGAUGAUACUUCUUUCCCGGUUACUGGCCGAUGCACUCUUAGCACUGCAUCUUUUCAUGUUCCCGAUGUUGCUCAUGUUCCUUGGCUUACCAUGCAACUCAUUUUUGGUGGUCAGAUUGUUGACUCUGGUUGCAGGGUCAUUCUUGACUUUGACUCAUGAUCAGUUCUGGACCGUCACACUGGUGCUCUUCUUGGUGCUGGCCCCCGGUGCCGUGACUCUCAGGGUCUUUGGGAGCUUGACUGGCUACAUCUUCCAUCCGCUACCACCGCAGCCAGUCUCUCCACCUCUGUUGCCUUGUCUACCAGCUCUUUUCAGCGGUGGCAUCAUCGCCUUGGUCACUUAUGUGGCUCUCGUCUCUCAUCCUUAGUUCGGCGUGGUCUUCUUGGAUCCGUCUCUGGCGGUGUGUCUUUAGACUGUCAGGGUUGUCGGCUUGGUAAACAGGUUCAGUUACCUUAUCCUCAUAGCGAGACUGUGUCUCAGCGUCCUUUUGACCUUGUUCACUCUGAUGUCUGGGGUCCAGCUCCCUUUGCUUCGAAGGGAUGCCAUCGCUACUAUAUUAUUUUUAUAGAUGAUUUCUUUUGACAUACGUGGAUAUAUUUCAUGUCUUCUCGUAGUGAGGUCUUAUCUAUCUAUAAGCGUUUUGCUGCCAUGGUUCACACUCAGUUCUCUUCGCCUAUUCGACCGUUUCGGGCUGAUCCUGCUGGAGAGUAUAUCUCCAAGAUGUUGCGUGGAUUUCUUGCUGAGUAGGGUACCCUUGCUCAGUUUUCUUGUCUUGGUGCUCAUACUCAGAAUGGCAUGGCUGAGUGCAAGCAUCGUCACCUUCUUGAGACGUCUCGUGCAAUGAUGAUCGCUGCCUCUCUUCCGCCUCACUUUUGGGCUGAGGCUGUCUCCACUUCCACCUAUCUCAUCAAUCUUUAGCCGUCCACUGCUUUGCAAGGUGGCGUUCCUUUCAAGCGUCUUUUUGAUCGUUCUUCCGAUUAUUCGAUGCUUCGUUUGUUUGGUUGCGUUUGCUAUGUUCUUCUUGCCCCUCGCAAACGCACCAAACUGACCGCUCAGUCUGUUGAGUGUCUUCUUAGGCUAUAGUGAUGAGCAUAAUGGCUAUCGUUGUUGGGAUCCUAUCGGUCGUUGGAUGCGUAUUUCUUGGGAUGUGACUUUUGAUGAGUCUCGUCCCUUCUACCCGCGCCCAUCUUCCUCGACCUUUUCAGUGGAGGAUAUCUCUUUCCUUACUUUUCCUGACACACCUAUCACCCCCAUCGAGCCUUUGUCUAUUCGUUCUGCUACCUUUGCCUCUCCAUCUCUUGCCGAUUUGCCGCCACCAUCUCCCACGGUUUCCUCACCUAGCAUGUCACCGGAUUCUGCACCUUCAUCU